rnacentral:rRNA from 1 species
UACGGAGGGGGCUAGCGUUGUUCGGAAUUACUGGGCGUAAAGCGCACGUAGGCGGCUUUGCAAGUUAGAGGUGAAAGCCCGGGGCUCAACUCCGGAAUUGCCUUUAAAACUGCAUCGCUAGAAUUGUGGAGAGGUAAGUGGAAUUCCGAGUGUAGAGGUGAAAUUCGUAGAUAUUGGGAAGAACACCGGUGGCGAAGGCGGCUCUCUGGACCACAACUGACGCUGAGGCGCGAAAGCUAGGGGAGCAAACAGG